AGUGAACGCUGGCGGUAGGCCUAACACAUGCAAGUCGAACGGCAGCACAGUAAGAGCUUGCUCUUACGGGUGGCGAGUGGCGGACGGGUGAGGAAUACAUCGGAAUCUACUUUUUCGUGGGGGAUAACGUAGGGAAACUUACGCUAAUACCGCAUACGACCUACGGGUGAAAGCAGGGGAUCUUCGGACCUUGCGCGAUUGAAUGAGCCGAUGUCGGAUUAGCUAGUUGGCGGGGUAAAGGCCCACCAAGGCGACGAUCCGUAGCUGGUCUGAGAGGAUGAUCAGCCACACUGGAACUGAGACACGGUCCAGACUCCUACGGGAGGCAGCAGUGGGGAAUAUUGGACAAUGGGCGCAAGCCUGAUCCAGCCAUACCGCGUGGGUGAAGAAGGCCUUCGGGUUGUAAAGCCCUUUUGUUGGGAAAGAAAAGCAGCAGGUUAAUACCCCGCCGUUCUGACAGUACCCAAAGAAUAAGCACCGGCUAACUUCGUG
rnacentral:rRNA from 1 species